ACAUUAUAGCACAAUUCAUAUUAAAGAAAGAGGUAUCAUUCAUCAUUAUCAUUUGUGAAGGGCGGAAAAUUUUCUUUUCCUAUGAAAAGUUAUCACAAUCAAGAACUGAUCUAAAAUUUUGUCUUAAAGUGAAAGUGUUAGUCACUCUGUUGUGUCUGACUCUUUGUGAUCCCAUGAACUGUAGCCCACCAGGCUCCUCUGUCCAUGGAUUCUCCAGGCAAGACUGGAGUGGGUUGUCAUUCCCUUUUCCAGGGGAUCUUGCUGACCCAGGGGUCGAGCCUGGGUCUCCUGCAUUGCAGGCAGAUUGGUUACCAACUGAGCCACAUAGUUAUGGUUAAUAAUGGUAAAUGAAAAGUAACCUUUAACACUUAACAUGAAUUUUUUUUUAAUUUAAAUAAAAAUAUGCAAAAAAAAUCAAAGAAAUACACAAAUAAUGUCACGUGCUGGCCCUCAUGUGAGCCGUUGGGAAGACCUGCUGGGUCCGGGAAGAGAAGGAACUCCUGGAGACCCCGCUCACCUGUUCUGUCCUCUCAGGAAAGUCGGUAUCAAGGGGCCUCUAUUUUGAGAAGGCUGUGAUGGCCUCCAGCGGCGUCUGCUGCUGGCACGCAGGUAAACAUGGAUGUGUCUUGCCUUUCUUCUGUGAGUGACAGAGGAAGAAAGUGCGUUCUGGAUGUGCUGACAUCGAUAUAUUGUUACAAUAUGAGUAACAAGACAGCCCACUGACAGAUGGGCACUUCCAUUUAUAACACUGGCUCAGGGUCCUCUUUUUUCCACACUCGGAGGAUGAGGUGCACGCCGUGUGCUGGGGGUUUUGCUUCCACCUCAGUGUCAGACAAAAACCCACCUCUUGUUUCACGUCACUUCAGCUGGAAUUUCAUCGGAUCCAGCGCUGGAUAUGAGCACAGGCUUUCCGCUCCUCCCGUUCCCUCCUGCAGGUGCAUAAACAUCAAAGUGGGUUCAGUGGGUGGUGGGGAGGUCCACCAGGUUCUCCUGAUCCACACAUACAAUCACCCUGCACCUGGAAGAAGCAGCUCUUCCAAGCAGCAAAGCACCCCUGACCUGGGAGCACACAAAGUCAGAUGUUUUCGCAACAGUUUUCCCAGCAACAAUCCACAGAUCAAAAGGUCAGAGUCUGGCAGCCCCACUCUGGCACAGGCAAGCCUGUUUAUGAGGACACUUAGUGUGGAUUUAGUAAGUUCACUGCAAAGCUCCAGGGGUGCCUGUCUCUUUAAAUCCAUCUUCUCCCAAGUGAAAUUUGUGGCCCUGAUGAAUGGCAGAGCAGAGUCAUCCAUAAAAGGGCAGAGGAAAAUCACAUUCAUUUGCAUACAGUAA
rnacentral:lncRNA from 1 species